UAUCAGGCCCGCCACAGUCCUGAGGGGGUAUGGCUUUGUGCAGGGUUGCUUCAUGCCAGUGCACACAUUUAAGUGUGAGAAGAAUGCUAAGUAGUCUACAUGAAACUCCAGAGACUGGAAUGAGGGGAUUGACGUCAAAUGCAAAAUUCACACAAAAUUAGAUUUUCAUAUCUUCUGCAACGUCUUCUAAAACGGAAAGCAUAAUUUCACACUGGAACCUACAUUUGGGUCAUGACAGGUUGCAAAGUUACAGGAGGGCCAAAUCUCACCUGGAGCUGCAGCUAGCGAGAGAUGUCAAGAGUAACAAGAAGAGUUUCUUCAGCAGCUCCUCUCAGGACUCUUCCAUUGAGCACAUGCGCAAAGGAAGAAGUAAAUGAAGUUGAUAUUAAUGUCUUGAUAUACUACUGGCAAUGAAGAAGUAGUGCCCCUGCAUCCUAUAUCAUAUAAAGCCAAGUGAGAUGGCUGUUUCUGUGAUGCGAAUCUCUCUACUAGGAACAGGACUGAGACCACAAACAAAUGACUAACUAAAAAUUAUUUCCAGCAUUACCUACCUGAACUGAUCAGACUAACGGAGCAAGAGUCCUACAUCCUACCAUUUCACAAAAUCGAACACUAAACGUAUUUAUAAUUGGGGUGUAUGUGUGUGUAUAUAGUGUCAAUUAAAGUAUAAACCUCUAAUCUACUUAUAUCAACAUUUGAUACAAUAUAGCAACUGAAGAUGAUUUAAUAACUAAACUUUGGUUAGUGAGGAUAGCAGAAAGCGAUAUUUAAUUUUACUACAGGGCAUGACAUUACACUCUAACACAUUCUAAAAAUCAUGCUUAAAGCACUAAUUUUCAAAUAUGAAUUUCAGUUUCUCUACUGUAGUGAAGGAAAACAGCAAAACGUCUGCAAGUACCAAGACUGAGAAAAAUUGCUUUAGACCAAAUAAAUGCAAGUAGAUUACCAGAAAACAGUACUUCAUAGAAAUUAACAAAGAUUCCCAUGAAAGAAGAAGGAGAAACUUCAGAAAUAUAUAAGAUAUCAAUUACAGUAUGAUGAUUUCAUAAGCCUGUCACAGUCUAUGCAGUUUUUAAAAGAGAAAGAAAUCUGAAGCAGAACUCCUUUCCUUUUGAUUUCUGCAUACAUUAUGACAAAACAGAACCAAGCUGAACAUAAUUAAAACAUCAUAGUUAUCUCCAGGUCCUCGUAACUUCUGCAAACCAAACCAUUUGUACAUUCCUCUUGUAAUAUAUUUUGUCACAAGAACCUUAUAAUAAAAAUACAUCCUUAUA